rnacentral:rRNA from 1 species
CCUACGGGUGGCUGCAGUGGGGAAUAUUGGACAAUGGGGGCAACCCUGAUCCAGCCAUGCCGCGUGUGUGAAGAAGGCCCUCGGGUUGUAAAGCACUUUCAGUGAGGAAGAACGCCUGGUGGUUAAUACCCAUCAGGAAAGACAUCACUCACAGAAGAAGCACCGGCUAACUCCGUGCCAGCAGCCGCGGGAAUACGGAGGGUGCGAGCGUUAAUCGGAAUUACUGGGCGUAAAGCGCGCGUAGGUGGCUUGAUAAGCCGGUUGUGAAAGCCCCGGGCUCAACCUGGGAACGGCAUCCGGAACUGUCAAGCUAGAGUGCAGGAGAGGAAGGUAGAAUUCCCGGUGUAGCGGUGAAAUGCGUAGAGAUCGGGAGGAAUACCAGUGGCGAAGGCGGCCUUCUGGACUGACACUGACACUGAGGUGCGAAAGCGUGGGUAGCAAACAGGAUUAGAUACCCGUGUAGUC